rnacentral:rRNA from 1 species
UACGUAGGGUGCAAGCGUUUGUCCGGAAUUAUUGGGCGUAAAGAGCUCGUAGGCGGUUCGUCGCGUCGGCUGUGAAAUCCCGGAGCUCAACUCCGGGUCUGCAGUCGAUACGGGCGGACUUGAGUACUGCAGGGGAGACUGGAAUUCCUGGUGUAGCGGUGAAAUGCGCAGAUAUCAGGAGGAACACCGGUGGCGAAGGCGGGUCUCUGGGCCGUAACUGACGCUGAGGAGCGAAAGCGUGGGGAGCGAACAGG